UGUUAAAAUUCAUCAAUUUUUACUCUUCAAAACUAGUGUGGCUAACCAAAUAACUAGACAGUUGGCAUGCCCACGUAUACCUUAUGCUGACAUAUAAGGAUCAGUUUUUAACAGUAAAAACUGAUGAAAUUGUUAAUA
rfam:Gossypium hirsutum cultivar TM-1 chromosome 12, whole genome shotgun sequence